rnacentral:misc_RNA from 1 species
AAAGGAAGGGCAAAUUUGAGAAGAAAUUGAAAUAAUAAGGGUUUUGGAUGUGAACUUUUGUUCAUUCUAUGUUCUAUUGUUAUAGAAUUUUCUAAUUCAUGGAAAUGUUGUGCAACACUAGUGAAGCUUGGUGGGUUUGGUGCUCAUUGUGGAUACCCAUUUUUAACAUCUGUCUUUUUGUAUCCUUGAUGUAAUUUUGGGUUAUAAUGAAAUUAUGUUAUGGGAU